rnacentral:rRNA from 1 species
GACGAACGCUGGCGGCGUGCUUAACACAUGCAAGUCGAACGGAAAGGCCCUGCUUUUGUGGGGUGCUCGAGUGGCGAACGGGUGAGUAACACGUGAGUAACCUGCCCUUGACUUUGGGAUAACUUCAGGAAACUGGGGCUAAUACCGGAUAGGAGCUCCUGCUGCAUGGUGGGGGUUGGAAAGUUUCGGCGGUUGGGGAUGGACUCGCGGCUUAUCAGCUUGUUGGUGGGGUAGUGGCUUACCAAGGCUUUGACGGGUAGCCGGCCUGAGAGGGUGACCGGCCACAUUGGGACUGAGAUACGGCCCAGACUCCUACGGGAGACAGCAGUGGGGAAUAUUGCAAAAUGGGCGGAAGCCUGAUGCAGCAACGCCGCGUGCGGGAUGACGGACUUCGGGUUGUAAACCGCUUUCGCCUGUGACGAAGCGUGAGUGACGGUAAUGGGUAAAGAAGCACCGGCUAACUACGUG